CCACAGGUUGAGAACUACUGGCCUAGAUAUUCCUUGAGAUAAUGCUUCUGUAUGUAUUUCUUGUUCCUCAUAAUUUUUCCACUUUCUUAGGGGUCUCACACAACUAUUAAACAUGAAUGCAGAAGGACUACAGUCAAGAUCCAGGGACCAAAUAAUGACAAUAGCACAGUAAGAUAUCAUCUACAGAGUUCUAUACCGGUUCCUUAUCUUGGGUUUUCAACUGUGGCAGAUUUCACUACAUUGGUGAAAGAUCCCUUUAUCAAAACUGAGAAAGCAAAGGGGAGAAGGCAAUAUUUGACAUGACUUUAUGCUGAGAGCUUGAAGGAGAAUCACACACACCUAUUCCUGAGCCCAACCCAGGAGGCUGACAAUGACAAGCUUAUUAAAGAAUCUGAGAUGACAGCAAUCAGUUGUUGAUGGAUGAGAGAAAAACUGGAUGAACCUCAUCUCCCCAACAGAUCAGGACAUUUUGUCUGAAGACUGCAUGCAAGACUGAAGCUUCCAUUUGUGGUUUAGCAGAGAGAGUGAUUGAAAAAAGUUCUAUUGAGUCUUUCCUUCCACAGACACACAGGGAACCUAGAAUAGGCUUGUGCACGGAUUUGGUUUGGUCGGUUCCCUUCGUCCAAUCCAGCUUGUUCAGCUUGUUCAGAUGGCCAUAAUGGUAAGCACUCAGCUGACAUGUUUUUUGUCCAGAACAGGGCCAUGUGGCAGCCAAUCACAGCUCCUCCUCCCCUAUUUAGCACCACGUGGCUCAUAGAGUGGUUGCCGUGUGCUGCUCGCACUGGGUUUCCCUGUGAGCCCUGCCUGUUGGGCCAAUCAGAAUAGAAGAAUGAUGUGACAUGUUUUACACACUGCUUCUUUAAUCCAGUUGCUCAAACACAGACUUCCUUGAAUGGAAGAAAGAAAGGGGUCCCAAGAAGGAUGCUUCUUUAACUCCAUUCUUCAAACCCAGACUCCCUUGAAUGGAAGAUAGGAAAGGUUACCAGGAGGAGUGCUGCCUUAACCCCGUUGCUCAAACCCAGCCUCCCUUGAAAGGAACAAAGGAAAGGAUGCCAGAAAACAGGAGGUUGUAAGUUCUCCAUUCCCACCAAUGGGCAGCAUCUUCCCAAAUCUUUCGACUGCCUAGCUGAAAACAGAUAUUUCCAUUCGGGAAGCUCCCAAAAACGGAUCUGGGUUCCCAUCAAAAUUCAGAUACCAAAAACAGAUCAGCCUCAAGCCGAAUUGCACAAGCCUAUUCUGGAAUAAUGUAUAUGUAUGUGUAUGAAUUGUGCUAUUGUGUCUCUCUACAAUUCUUUCAGAAGCCUAAUUUCUCCUUCAUUCUGACAUCAACUGCUAAUUUAGCACAAAGGCUCUAUUGCAAACAUGUGGAUGUUUGUUAUUUGAUAGAAUUUUAGUCUUACAUUCCAUGCAUAAGAAAAUGGACAAAGAUCAAGUAAGGGAAGGUGAAUGGAAAAAGAAAAUACAAGAGUGCAAGUAAAAGAGAAAAAUUAGAUUGAACAACAAUGCCCCAUGGAGGAAAAGGAGGUUGCAGGAAUUAAAUGGAAACGAUAACAGUACACCGGGGGCACAGCAUAACAUUGUAUUCAGCUCUGGUUCAAGACAUUAUUCUUCCUGAGGCAGGAGGAGUCACAGCAGCUACCAGUUGUUGGACCUCCCCUAUUUUGUCCAGAUUAAUCAUCAUACUAUACCAAAGUUAAAAUACAACUCAGAUAAAUUGUAUGUGUGUGAGAGAACAAGGUAUCAUCACCUGUAAAUAGUUCUUUUGGGUGUAGUAGGGAUGUAAUGCAGUUGUAUUUCAAAAAUAAUAUAAGAGAUAACAAAAAGUUUCCUUUAUUAUUUUUGUACAGUUAAAGUCUGCACACCAGCUGCACUUGUACCUUGAAAUGUCAGAUCUGGCCAUGGUGACCCAUGCAUCAGUAUUGCUCUCCACAUGGGGCUGCCUUUAAAAAGUGCUCUAAAGCUUCAACUGGGCCAAAGAGCUGUAGCAGAUUACUAACUGGGGCUGGCUAUAGGAAGUUUGCAAUUCUCUCAGUCAGGAGCGGCCCUAGGUUUUUUUAGUAUGUAAGCAAACCUAGGGCCGCCCCCCCCCCCCCAACUUACUGGCGGUGGAGACCAUUGGGUCACUCGCCGUGGAACAAGGA